rnacentral:lncRNA from 10 species
GCAAACAGGACCGCGAAAAGAACAGGACCACCCAUCAGCAGCCCUGCAAGAACACUGCAGAUUUGCGCGAGAAGUAGGUUAUCUUCUAUGGAGAGGAAUUCUAGACCUAAUCAGAGACGAUCCCUUAAGACUCUGGUUUAAGAAAGGUUCGGAGAUAAGCAUACUUUGAUAGCGUUCACCUGUUUUCCCUGAGGACCUUUCGCCACUGGGAGUCGGGGAACACCUGUCAGUCAGAGUCCUCUGCUCUGAAAUUCGUAUUGAGAUAAAGUCAAAGAAAAGUUGGAGGCCAGUCAUGGUGGUUCGCAUCUGUGGUCCCAGCUACUGUGGAGGCUGAGGCAGGAGGAUUGCUCAAGCAUAGGAGUUUGAGGCUGCAGUGAGCCAUGAUUGUGCCAAUGCACUCCAGCCUGGGCAACAGAGCAAGACCCAGUCUCAAAAAACAAACCAAAAAAAAAAAAGGAGAAGAAAGAAAAGCUUCAGAGGGCACAACUUCCUUUUUUCUUUUAAUGUAACUGCACUGAGAAUUUCAAGCACAGGAAGUUCUACAUCCUCAACUACCAUGCGUAGAAAGCAAAACAUAGAAAGCGACGCGUUUCUUUCCGCAUCGUCACCUUCCUCCUUCCAUCAGUCAGUCCGCAGUCCCGCUUCUCCAGUGAAGCCUGGUGUUAAUUUUCCACACACAGUGUUAUUCAGGGGCUGAUUAUCCUCUCUUAUUUGUAUUCAUUUGUUUUUUUAUACCUAUUUUGAAAAUUCAUACAGAAUAUAGGCAAAGAAGCUAAAAGAAAAAGUGAAACUCAGCACAUUUUUAAUUUUUUAUUAGUAAUUGCAUUUUUAAAAAAGGACAGUUACUGGAAGAGAAGGUAAUUGAAUAUAGAUUACAACAAGAUUUAGGGACAAUUAUAGAAUUUCUUGUAUAUUUACUAAUAAAUGAAUGCUAAUUAUCUUUUAUGUAAAUGGCAUUUUAUGCCAGCAAGAUGUUUUAUAUGUACAUAUGCACACACACACACGCGCGAUAGAGCGAUGGCUAAAUAAAUUGUGAUUUAUUCCUAUGAUAGGAUUUAUGUAACUAUUAAAGAAGUUGUUUAUAAAAGUCUUUCUUAUUGUUAAGUGCAAAACUAGGAUUAGGAUAGACGUUAAAGAAAAGGAUCAUAUAGUGUAAAAAUAAACAUGUAUAUUAGUAGAAAGAGACCACAAAGUGUUAUGAAAAAAUACUAACUAUAUUAAUCUCUGGCAAAUAAAAGUAUUUGUGUU